rnacentral:rRNA from 1 species
CACGUAGGGCGCAAGCGUUGUCCGGAAUUAUUGGGCGUAAAGAGCUCGUAGGCGGUCUUUUGCGUCCGCUGUGAAAACUCGGGGCUUAACCCCGAGCCUGCAGUGGAUACGGGCAGACUAGAGGUAGGUAGGGGAGAAUGGAAUUCCCGGUGUAGCGGUGAAAUGCGCAGAUAUCGGGAGGAACACCGGUGGCGAAGGCGGUUCUCUGGGCCUGUACUGACGCUGAGGAGCGAAAGCGUGGGGAGCGAACAGG